GCUGUUGUUUGUGUAAUUAUAUUUUGCAUAAUAGCUGCAAGAAUGGUAUCAGUACUUACAGUGAGCGGAAGACAAUUUAUGAAAUCAGAUGCGUACAAAGACACCAUAAUAUAAUUACAAGAUGGGUUUGUAUUUUGUUGAGGUUGAGGUUGACCGAUUGAAGAACGAGUGGAUGAAUUUUGUUACUAGACAAUGGAAUGAUAAGGAGCACGUUCAUAUAUUUAUAGCAAAAGGACAUUACCAAAAAAGUUAACUUUAUAGCUUGGGCUAGAGGCUACAGGGAACAUAAAUAGAAAUCUGUUUAUUAGUUCUUUUGUUCCUAGACCUUGCAAUCCAAAAC
rnacentral:misc_RNA from 1 species